rnacentral:rRNA from 1 species
GAUGAACGCUGGCGGCGUGCCUAAUACAUGCAAGUCGAGCGAACAGAUGAGGAGCUUGCUCCUCUGACGUUAGCGGCGGACGGGUGAGUAACACGUGGGUAACCUACCUAUAAGACUGGGAUAACUUCGGGAAACCGGAGCUAAUACCGGAUAAUAUAUUGAACCGCAUGGUUCAAGAGUGAAAGACGGUUUUGCUGUCACUUAUAGAUGGAUCCGCGCCGCAUUAGCUAGUUGGUAAGGUAACGGCUUACCAAGGCAACGAUGCGUAGCCGACCUGAGAGGGUGAUCGGCCACACUGGAACUGAGACACGGCCCAGACUCCUACGGGAGGCAGCAGUAGGGAAUCUUCCGCAAUGGGCGAAAGCCUGACGGAGCAACGCCGCGUGAGUGAUGAAGGUCUUCGGAUCGUAAAACUCUGUUAUUAGGGACGAACAAAUGUGUAAGUAAAUAUGCACGUCUUGACGGUACCUAAUCAGAAAGCCCCGGCUAACUACGUG